AGAGUUUGAUCAUGGCUCAGGACGAACGCUGGCGGUGCGCCUUAUGCAUGCAAGUCGAGCGAAGCUUUUCAGUAGUUUACUACAGAAAAUGACUGAGCGGCGAACGGUGAGUAACGCGUGAGCAACCUACCUUAGUUACUGGGAUAGCCCGAGGAAACUCGGAUUAAUACCGGAUAUUCUUAUUUAAUCACAUGAUUUUUUAAGGAAAGGUCAGCCGAACUAAGAUGGGCUCGCGUUCUAUCAGCUAGUUGGUAGGGUAACGGCCUACCAAGGCUACGACGGAUAGCUGGUCUGAGAGGACGAUCAGCCACACUGGGACUGAGACACGGCCCAGACUCCUACGGGAGGCUGCAGCAGGGAAUAUUGUGCAAUGAACGAAAGUUUGACACAGCGACACCGCGUGUGGGAUGACGGAUCUAGGUUUGUAAACCACUUUCAGGAGGGAAGAAAAUGACGGUACCUCCACAAGAAGCCCCGGCCAACUACGUGCCAGCAGCCGCGGUAAUACGUAGGGGGCGAGCGUUGUCCGGAUUUAUUGGGCGUAAAGAGCUCGUAGGCGGUUCAACAAGUCGGUCGUGAAAGUUCAGGGCUCAACCCUGAAAUGUCGAUCGAUACUGUUGUGACUAGGAUACGGCAGAGGUGAGUGGAAUUCCGAGUGUAGCGGUGAAAUGCGUAGAUAUUCGGAGGAACACCAAUUGCGAAGGCAGCUCACUGGGCCGCUAUCGACGCUGAGGAGCGAAAGCUAGGGGAGCAAACAGGAUUAGAUACCCUGGUAGUCCUAGCUGUAAACGAUGGAUACUAGAUGUAGGAAUUGGUUUAACGAUUUCUGUAUCGUAGCUAACGCGUUAAGUAUCCCGCCUGGGGAGUACGGUCGCAAGACUAAAACUCA
rnacentral:rRNA from 1 species